GAUCAAUCACGAAGGAAUCCGUAGAUGAAGAGGAUACAUAUGACUACCUCCCAGGGAAAAGAUACUUCAUCUGCAAAGACUUCGAGGUUUGAAGUAAUGACGGGAUGCAUUUUAGGCAGCCAUGGGUUAUGGGUGUGCAACAAGAGGUGGAGAGGCUCAAAAUAAGGGUUCACGAGCAUGAGAAGCUUCUCAGAGAAUGCGACGAACUAAAGGCCCAGGUGAGGAUGUUGCUUAGGCGUGUGUCUGACCUUGAGAGAGUCCUCUGAGGUUAGUGUUUAAAGUUACAUGUCUUCUUUAACUCUCUAGUUUAAAAUUAGCAGUUA